rnacentral:rRNA from 1 species
UACGUAGGGUGCGAGCGUUGUCCGGAAUUAUUGGGCGUAAAGGGCUCGUAGGCGGUCUGUCACGUCAGGAGUGAAAACUCGGGGCUCAACCCCGAGCCUGCUUCUGAUACGGGCAGACUGGAGGUAUGCAGGGGAGAACGGAAUUCCUGGUGUAGCGGUGAAAUGCGCAGAUAUCAGGAGGAACACCGGUGGCGAAGGCGGCGACCUGGUCCGAUACUGACGCUGAGGCGCGAAAGCGUGGGGAGCAAACAGG